UUGAGCCAUUUAAGAUAUCUUGCUUCUGAGGAUCAGAUAAGGAAGAGCUAUCGUGAUGCUGCAUUGAGGCAUCAUCCUGACAAGCUGGCUUCUCUUCUUCUAGCUGAGGAAACUGAAGCUGCAAAACAAGCUAAGAAGGAGGAAAUAGAAAACCACUUCAAAGCUAUUCAGGAAGCAUAUGAGGUUCUUAUUGACCCUGUUAGAAGAAGGAUUUAUGAUUCCACAGAUGAAUUUGAUGAUGAAAUCCCAACUGAAUGUGCUCCACAAGAUUUUUUUAAGGUUUUUGGACCUGCAUUUUUGAGGAAUGGACGUUGGUCUGUCACCCAACCUGUCCCUUCAUUGGGUGAUGAGAAUACUCCAAUUAAAGAAGUGGAUAGCUUUUAUAAUUUCUGGUACAGCUUUAAAAGCUGGAGAGAGUUCCCACAUGCUGAUGAGUUUGACCUUGAACAAGCUGAAUCUCGUGAUCAUAAGAGGUGGAUGGAGAGGCAGAAUGCGAAACUGUCAGAGAAGGCUAGAAAAGAAGAAGUAGCUAGGGUACGCACACUUGUUGACAAUGCCUAUAAGAGAGACCCUAGAAUCCUGGGAAGAAAAGAAGGAAGAAGAAGAAGACAUAUUUUCAGAAAUUGUAAGAAGUAGCUAGGGUACGCACACUUGUUGACAAUGCCUAUAAGAGAGACCCUAGAAUCCUGGGAAGAAAAGAAGCAGAGAAAGCAGAGAAGCAGAAAAAGAAGGAAGCUAAACUUCUGGCAAAGAAAUUACAGGAGGAAGAAGCAGCUAGGAUUGCUGAGGAGGAAAAGCGUAAGAAGGAGGAGGAGGGAAAAAGAGCUGCCGAAGUUGCUUUGCAGCAGAAGAAGUUGAAGGAGAAAGAAAAGAAAUUGUUGCGAAAAGAGCGGAGCCGUUUAAGAACCCUUGCAGCUCCUGUUUUGUCCCAACGUUUGCUUGGGCUAGCUGAUGAUGAUAUAGAAGGGUUAUGCAUGUCACUUGACAUUGAGCAACUGAGAAACUUGUGUGAUAAAGCCGAUGGAAAGGAUGAGCUUAUGAUAGCUGAACUUCUCAGGGAGGCACUUGGACAUGACCACAACUUGAAAUAUGAGAAUAAGGGCGAAAAAAGUAAGUCACAUCAAAAUGGUUCUCUGGAGGGUAAAAGACAAGUUCCUCUGAUGAGCAGUGAGAAAAGGGAGAAACCUUGGAGCAAGGAAGAAAUUGAUCUUCUGAGAAAGGGAAUGCUGAAAUUUCCUAAAGGAACAUCUCGAAGAUGGGAAGUUAUGUCAGAGUAUAUUGGUACCGGAAGGACAGUUGAAGAGAUCUUGAAGGCUACAAAAACAGUUCUGCUCCAGAAGCCUGACUCUGCUAAAGCCUUUGACUCCUUUCUUGAGAAGAGAAAGCCCGCACCGACUAUUGCAUCUCCUCUUUCCACAAGAGCAGAAGUAGAGGGGGUAGAAAACAGUAGCAAGCCUGAAAGUGGAAGUGCUAAGCUAGCCGAUUCUCAGGAGUCCCCCAGUCAAAACACAAACAGCCAGAACACUGAGGAUGCACCUACUGCAAACGGGGUUUCCUCAAGUUCCGAUUCAGACAUAUGGUCUGCUGUUCAAGAAAAAGCUUUAGUUCAAGCUCUGAAAACUUUCCCCAAGGAAACCAGCCAGCGGUGGGAACGAGUUGCAACUGCAGUCCCUGGGAAGACCAUGAACCAGUGUAAAAAGAAGUUUGCAUUACUCAAAGAGAACUGUUAGUUCAAGCUCUGAAAACCUUCCCCAAGGAAACCAGCCAGCGGUGGGAACGAGUUGCAACUGCAGUCCCUGGGAAGACCAUGAACCAGUGUAAAAAGAAGUUUGCAUUACUCAAAGAGAACUUCAGGAACAAGAAAGGUGCUGUAUGAGGUUAGUGGUGGUUGAAACUUCUGAGUCUAGUUUUUCGAUUUCUAUCUUUUUAUUGUUCAGGAGCAGCCGCAACUAGCUCACACGUGAAAUGUGACAACAUACCAUCCACUUUCGCGGCCAUUUUUGUCAUUAAGCAGUAGAAUCUACAUAUCUUACUAUCAGUACGGCAUUGUGAAGUUACUAUACUGGAAUACAUUAAUAUUUGAUGGGAAAUACUGAUGAUACCUAAAGUUAUGCAUCUUUCUAUUUAUUUUGAUGGUUGGCCUCGUAAUUUAGAUUCCU
rnacentral:lncRNA from 1 species